GGCACCUCUUCCUGGGCAACUGAUUCAUCAUAUAGAGUGCAGUCUCCGCUUCUCUGCUUGUAAAACUUAUAAGGCUCCAGACUCACUGGAGACAUCCUGACACAUAAUGCUUCGCCCAGCACAAUGCGAUGCCCUUUACCUAGUAAAAGGGUGAGUCCCGUAAAGGUGCUGCCUUCCCCCCAGAACAAACAAGGGAAAUGCAUCAGGAGAGCUCAGCUGCAGACAGAAUGCACAUCAUGAAGCAGGAGCCACCCUGGGAUUCCUCAGAUGAAAGCCAAUUUCAAUGAACAUUGUGUUUCAAAGCCCGCUUCCUCUUGCUCGGUUGUCUGCCAACGCUAACUGGCCAGCUCUGACAGGAGGUGCGUGGCCCAGGAGGAGCCAUCAGGCCAGUUCUCUGGGAUACUGCUGUGUCUCCAGCUCUGCAGUUUGCUCUUCGUCACUCAGCGGCAGACGGAGAGGCAGACACGAGCCCCUUGUGAGCCCUCCUCCUUACCGUCAUCUCACAAUGCUCUGAAAUAAGGAGGCAAAUGGCUGAGGUCCCCUCAGUUGUAGAUGUGAUUGAGUUCUAUCUACCAGAAGCAUAUGCCUCCUGGAAGCCUGGUUCUAACACCUCCCACAAAAUCCUUCAAGCACUUUUUUCUGUUCCAAGGUUUGCUUAUGGGGGACCCAGUGAAGUGCUUCAGAGCCCUAGAGAUUUGCUGAGUCAUAUGAGGGGUCAGCAAACUUUUCCUGUAAAGGGUCAGAUAAUAAACAUUUUAAGCU
ensembl:lncRNA LINC03002 long intergenic non-protein coding RNA 3002